rnacentral:tRNA from 1 species
GUCCUGGUUGGCCAGCCAGGGCUUGUCGGCUGUUGUCUGCAGGACGGUAUAGGCGGCCAGUUCGCCGCUGGCCCGGUGCC